AGAGUUUGAUCCUGGCUCAGAGCGAACGCUGGCGGCGUGCUUAACACAUGCAAGUCGAGUGCGCGUUUCCGUAGCAAUACGGAAAUGGCGCACGGCGCACGGGUGCGUAACACGUGGGCAAUCUGCCCUCCGAUGGGGAAUAACCUCGCGAAAGCGAGGCUAAUUCCGCAUAACAUUCCGAUAACUAACGUUGUUGGAUUCAAAGCCGUAAGGCGUCGAAGGAGGAGCCCGCGCACGAUUAGCUAGUUGGUGAGGUAAUGGCUCACCAAGGCUAUGAUCGUUAGCUGGUCUGAGAGGAUGGCCAGCCACACUGGAACUGAGACACGGUCCAGACUCCUACGGGAGGCAGCAGUGGGGAAUCUUGCACAAUGGGCGAAAGCCUGAUGCAGCGACGCCGCGUGGGGGAUGAAGCUUUUCGGAGUGUAAACCCCUUUCGACCCGGACGAAUGCCCCGCAAGGGGACUGACGGUACGGGUAUAAGAAGCCCCGGCUAACUACGUGCCAGCAGCCGCGGUAAGACGUAGGGGGCCAGCGUUGCUCGGAAUUACUGGGUGUAAAGGGUUCGUAGGCGGUGUGGCAAGUCGGGAGUGAAAUCUCUGGGCUCAACCCAGAGGCUGCUUCCGAAACUGCUGUGCUUGAGUGUGGGAGAGGCGCGUGGAAUUGCAGGUGUAGCGGGCGUAGAUAUCUGCAGGAACACCCGUGGCGAAAGCGGCGCGCUGGACCACAACUGACGCUGAGGAACGAAAGCUAGGGGAGCAAACAGGAUUAGAUACCCUGGUAGUCCUAGCCCUAAACGAUCAGGACUUGGGGUGCUUCACGUUC
rnacentral:rRNA from 1 species